rnacentral:rRNA from 1 species
GGACGAACGCUGGCGGUAUGCUUAACACAUGCAAAGUCGAACGAGAAGGAAGAGCUUGCUCUUCCUGAAAGUGGCGAACGGGUGAGUAACGCGUGGGUAACCCUACCCUUUGGAAAGGAAUAGCCUCGGGAAACUGGGAGUAAUGCCUUAUAAGAUACGUUUGUCGCAUGGCAUUUGUAUUAAACGCUCCGGCGCCAUAGGAUGGACCCGCGUCCCAUUAGCUAGUUGGUGAGAUAACAGCUCACCAAGGCCACGAUGGGUAACCGGUCUGAGAGGGCGAACGGUCACACUGGAACUGAGACACGGUCCAGACUCCUACGGGAGGCAGCAGUGGGGAAUAUUGCGCAAUGGGGGCAACCCUGACGCAGCAAUACCGCGUGAGUGAAGAAGGUUUUCGGAUCGUAAAGCUCUGUUAUUGGGGAAGAAAAAAAGACGGUACCCAAGAAGAAAGUUCCGGCUAACUACGUGCCAGCAGCCGCGGUAAUACGUAGGGAACAAGCGUUGUCCGGAUUUACUGGGCGUAAAGGGCACGCAGGCGGUUUUUUAAGUCAGAUGUGAAAGGCCACAGCUCAACUGUGGACAUGCAUUUGAAACUGAAAGACUUGAGUAUUGGAGAGGCAAGUGGGAUUCCUAGUGUAGCGGUGAAAUGCGUAGAUAUUAGGAGGAACACCGGUGGCGAAGGCGGCUUGCUGGACAAAUACUGACGCUGAGGACGAACGCUGGCGGUAUGCUUAACACAUGCAAAGUCGAACGAGAAGGAAGAGCUUGCUCUUCCUGAAAGUGGCGAACGGGUGAGUAACGCGUGGGUAACCCUACCCUUUGGAAAGGAAUAGCCUCGGGAAACUGGGAGUAAUGCCUUAUAAGAUACGUUUGUCGCAUGGCAUUUGUAUUAAACGCUCCGGCGCCAUAGGAUGGACCCGCGUCCCAUUAGCUAGUUGGUGAGAUAACAGCUCACCAAGGCCACGAUGGGUAACCGGUCUGAGAGGGCGAACGGUCACACUGGAACUGAGACACGGUCCAGACUCCUACGGGAGGCAGCAGUGGGGAAUAUUGCGCAAUGGGGGCAACCCUGACGCAGCAAUACCGCGUGAGUGAAGAAGGUUUUCGGAUCGUAAAGCUCUGUUAUUGGGGAAGAAAAAAAGACGGUACCCAAGAAGAAAGUUCCGGCUAACUACGUGCCAGCAGCCGCGGUAAUACGUAGGGAACAAGCGUUGUCCGGAUUUACUGGGCGUAAAGGGCACGCAGGCGGUUUUUUAAGUCAGAUGUGAAAGGCCACAGCUCAACUGUGGACAUGCAUUUGAAACUGAAAGACUUGAGUAUUGGAGAGGCAAGUGGGAUUCCUAGUGUAGCGGUGAAAUGCGUAGAUAUUAGGAGGAACACCGGUGGCGAAGGCGGCUUGCUGGACAAAUACUGACGCUGA